rnacentral:rRNA from 1 species
UAAACUAGGAUUAGAUACCCUAUUAUUUUAAAUGUAAAUUUUAGAUACUAAAUUAGUAAUAGUUAUGGUCUUGAAAAUUAAAAAAUUUGGCGGUAUUUUAGUCUUUUCAGAGGAACCUGUCCUGUAAUUGAUAGUCCACGAAGUAGAAUACUUUAUUUAUUAGUUUACCUAUCGUCGUAGUUAGAAUAUUUUAAAAGAAAUUUAAUGUUCUAAAUUUUGAAUUAAAAAAAAAAUCAGAUCAAGAUGUAGUUUAUAAUAAAGGAGAGAUGGGUUACAUUAAAAUUAUUUAAGGAUAAUUUUUGGGAAAAAAGUUUGAAUAUGGAUUUGAAAGUAAUUUUAUUUAAUUAGUUAAGAUGAUUUUAGCUCUAAAAUAUGCACACAUCGCCCGUCGCUCUUAA